AUUGAACGCUGGCGGCAGGCCUAACACAUGCAAGUCGAGCGGAUGAAGGGAGCUUGCUCCUGGAUUCAGCGGCGGACGGGUGAGUAAUGCCUAGGAAUCUGCCUGGUAGUGGGGGAUAACGUCCGGAAACGGGCGCUAAUACCGCAUACGUCCUGAGGGAGAAAGUGGGGGAUCUUCGGACCUCACGCUAUCAGAUGAGCCUAGGUCGGAUUAGCUAGUUGGUGGGGUAAAGGCCUACCAAGGCGACGAUCCGUAACUGGUCUGAGAGGAUGAUCAGUCACACUGGAACUGAGACACGGUCCAGACUCCUACGGGAGGCAGCAGGGGGGAAGAUUGGACAAUGGGCGAAAGCCUGAUCCAGCCAUGCCGCGUGUGUGAAGAAGGUCUUCGGAUUGUAAAGCACUUUAAGUUGGGAGGAAGGGCAGUAAGUUAAUACCUUGCUGUUUUGACGUUACCAACAGAAGAAGCACCGGCUAACUUCGUG
rnacentral:rRNA from 1 species